CAAGAAGAACCACCCCAAAGCUGUAAACGUCACUUUUGUCAGUAAUUUGGCUCGACAGGAAAUAUUCUGGAUCGAUGUAGCCGAAAGUCCCUUGGACUCGAGUAGUCAUGUGGGUUUUGUCAAUUGGAAUGGACAAUGAAGCUCCAAAGUCUGAUACUUUAGCUAUGUAUUUUUCAUCCAACAAUAUGUUGGUGGACUUGAUAUCCCUGUGAAAGACCGGAAUUGAAAGCCCCGAGUGUAGGUAUGCCAAUGCUCCUGCUACCUCUGUGGCUACUUUUAAUCUCAAGCUCCAAGUAAAAGGGAAGGAUUCAGCCUCAUUGUCGUUUUGAAUGAGGUUAAAUAGGGUUCCAUUAGGGAUAAAUUCAUAGACAAGCAGAGGAACUUCUGUCUCCAAGCAACAACCCAGAAGUUUUACCACAUUCCUGUGAUUAACUUGCGAAACAAUGACGAGCUCGUUGAUGAACUGCCCCAACAGGCUUUUGUCAACCUUCGACUUCUUGAUUGCCACAAUUCUUCCAUCGGCUAGGAUCCCUUUAUAUACUGUACCUUGGCCACCUUGACCAAGUAUUCGACUUUCGUUGAAUCCAUCAGUGGCCGCCUCCAAUUCCCUAGAAAUGAAAAUUCUAGUUUUUUCAAUAGCACCAUCUGCAGCAGAUAAUUGUUUCUCCAAUAGAAGACCUCCAUUUCGUUCAAAAUGGCCCUGCUUCUUCUUUUUAUUGCGUCUCUUCUGUAGCAGGACAAGACCAGUAAACACUGCAAUUGUCACCCCAGCAGCCACAGCAACACUUGUAAUCGAUACCAAAAAAUAUAAUGGAACUGUGACUACUACGAGGAUGAGAAAUAGCAGAAAGAAUAACUUGGGAGGUCUCAUUAUUGGGAAGUAGAGCAAAGUUUGUCUUUCAAUAGCAUAGGGAUAUUAUCGAACUGAUCGAAGAGCAUCUGCCUAAAUAGGUGAACCAAAAUGUUGUAAUUAAUCAAAUAUCGUAGGGGAAAUAGUCAAAUUACCUUGGAGAAGUCUACAUCAGUUGAGAUCAGAUGUGGGCUAUUUUUUCCACUAGCAACUUCCUCGAUGUUUCACUGCAAUUGUUGGAUGUACUCCUGGAAGCUCCACUGCAAUUGCUGUAUGUUAUCGACGACUUUAUGAACCAGUAUGGAACAAUCCACUUGUGUUCAAAACUUGUUUGGCCGGCCUCUUAGUCUUCUUGUCAUCUUAACUCUUUUAACCAUCUCUUUUCCUACACUAAUUAACCAUCGAUGACUUGGCUUUUGUGUUGUUAUUAGCUUUAAUAAAAACAACUCCAAAACUCAAGAGAUCACUUUUCUCAGUACAUUGGCUUGUUGAAAGAAUUCUGGAUCCAGAUACACAAAAAUCCCUCUAACUCGUGUAGGUAAAUAAGUUUAAUCAACUUCGAUAGAUCUCGAAGUUCCCAAGUCAGAUGCUUUGGCUAUACAUAUUUAUCCAAAAAGUAUCUUGCUUGAUUUCACAUCUCUGUGCAAGAUGGGAACUGAAAUUUCAGAAUGUAGAUAUGCCUGUGACCCUGCUAUCUCUAUGGCUAUUCUUAUUCUCGAGUUAUAAGUGAAGGGGAAAUCAUCAUCACUCUGAUUAUGCAUGAGAUUAUAAAGGCUUCGGUUGGGGAUGAAUUCAUUAACCAGUAGGGGAACUUCUAUAAACAAACGACAAACCUAGGAGUUUUACCACAUUCCUAUGACUGACUUGUGACAGAAUUACCACCUCAUUGACGAAAUCCUCAAAGUGACUGUCAGUAACAUUUCAACCUUUUUGAUUGCGAAUCUUUCCAUCAGUUAACAUCCCUUUAUACACUGUACCUUGACCACCCUGCCUAAGUAUUCGACUUCCAUUGAAUGCAUCAAUAGCCUUGCUCAAUUUCUUAGCACUAACGAGAUGUGUUCUUUCAAUAGCAUCCGCAGAAAAAUGUUGCUGUUACAUUCUUUCAAUAGCACUAACGUGUGCAAUACGUUCUCUAGAAAUACCAUCAAUUGAAUGGAAGAACAUUAGCCCCGCGUGAAUGGUACAGCGGCAGUACCUCCCCUGGUGUACCUCUAGGUCCUAGGUUCGAGUCCCUGCGCUGCUGGAUUCCUCCGCGCACUUACCGUGCUUGGAUCGGGUUGGGGCGCCAAGGCCCGGGCCACAGGGAAUUAGUCGGGCCCCAUAAGAGUUGACCCCCAUGUGGUUUAAUUUUUUUUUUUUACACAACCCCUCUAUGGUUUCAAAAACUAUACAUAACCCCCUCAUAGUUUGGAUUAAAGUGUCAAAGUGAAGGAAAUAGUUAUUCGUAAUGGAACUUUUAAAAAUGUUGAAAUUACCCUUAUAAAUACAUGAUACACUAACCCAGUAUGAUUUUUAUAUUUUAUCAUAUAAUCCCCUUAUGGUUUAAUACUUUACCAUAUAACCCCCUUAUGAUUUUCAAAAUAUAUGCAUAACCCCCCUUGGUUAAUAAAUAAUUUUAACUUUACAUAAGAGUAUUUUUGACAUUUUAGGUAACUCCGUUAGGAAUGAUCAUUCCGUCAUUUUGAUACUUUAAUCCAAACCACGAGGGGUUAUGUUUAACUUUUGAAAUCAUAGGGGGGUUAUGUAAAAAAAGGCUAAAUCACAGGGGGUAAAGUGAAAUUUGUCCUAAAUAUUUACAAAAUGGUGGCAAGAAGGGGAUCUAGGGUGGGUUACCAACAAUAUCAACUAUUUCUUUACGCCUUCCCUUGAUUUGGGAGUUGGCUUCGACCAAAGAAGCAAGCAAUCACUCAAAAAAAAAAGAAAAAAGGUAUUAGACUAAUGUCCACAAGGAGGAUCAAUUGGAGCAGAAGAAGUAAGCACAAGCAAGAAGGCCAAAAUAAUAAAGUCAACCAUCUCUUUACAGCUUACCAUGUUGGCAACCACCAUCUAAAAUCUAGAUACGUGUUUACUUCAUAGAACCAAGUUGCAUUCCCCAAGCUUUUGCAUUCACACUGAUAAGUGAAAAUGGUUCUGGAUUGUAAUUCAAAAGGGACUUCUUUUAGGAUUGCAACCUGAGAUGGAAUCAAUAUCAGAAUAGUUUAGGGGCCAGGACCACGCAGCAGGAGCAUAUCUCAAAGGCAAUUUUGGAGGGUCCGCAUAGUUCUCCAACUUCAGUUCUGGUCCUCCAAGAAGGCAUAAGCACAGUUAUUGGAUGCAACGCUCUGCAAAGCGUUACGCGCAAUUGAAAACUGAAUUGGCUGAGUAGCAAGGAAUGCUUGCUUGACAGCAAUUGAUGCGACAGCAACCGGUUAUGUUGUUGGUGCUACACAUUGAGGUGCAACCAGACAAGAUCUCUGGACUGCCAAGUCUCGGUCUGAAGGGAGCAUUUCCACAGCCAAGAAACAUCACUUGUUGCAUUCUCUGGAAACAAAGAAAGGAGAUUCGGCAAGGGAACCUUCUGCAAUGGCCGGAUCAAAUGAAUCACUCCAGCAAACUUGGAGCAAGGGUAAGUUUAUGGUUACUGUUUGAUCACUCAGGGACACUUCCAGCACCUCACAAAUUUCUUGGGAACCUUUUCCAGGUUAAAGCACCCCAGAUACGGCUUUGAAUUUGAACUGUUGAUGGAAUCGCCAGAGACAUUUGUACAGCUUAUGGUGAAUGCUUCAUUGAGAGCACAAUCUGGACCAAUUCCAAAUGGGUAGGGAAUUGUCACUCGUCCAUAGGUAUCAAUGCACCCUGGCUUCGCCAUUGGAAAUCGUGUGAUUGAACAAUGAGGUAAAGAAACACAAAUAACAUACAGAUUAAGCUCAAAUUGCUCAUACCAAAUUAUUUAUUUCUUAACUUCUGAAUAAAGUCUGAAAUGUUGCAAAUGCAGAGGGCCGUAGGAGCAUAGGGGAUUUUAUCGACUAUCAUAUUGAUGCAUUUAGAUGCAAAAGUCUGUGAGUCAAGUUAGAAACGUAGCCAUUAAAGCAAAGUAAAAGAAUGACACAAGCAAUCAUUUGAGGAAUUUCACUAAGCAGAAGAGCUGAACUGAAUUGGUUUAAGAGAAUGCAUUUCUUCAAUUGCUAGGAAGGUGGCAGGAUUUAGAAAACAAAGCCGUAGGUUUCAUUCUUAAAAGGAAGAAAAAAAGAGUCAGUCGUCACUUUUGCUAGUCGGCAGAAAAAAUUGAAGAGAGAGAAAAAAGUAAAGCAGCUAGAGAGAUAGAGAGAGUUCAAGGUCUUGAUUGGAGGAUGAUUCAAAAUCUCAUUGAGACGAAAUUUUAUGCACGCAAUCCUCUCAUCAAGUUCUACUCAUCUACCGGUUCAGAUUUCAGAUUUCCUUUUCGUUUGGUAACACCUUUCUAAACUCACUUCUUUGAUAGUUGUAAUUUUUGGGAGUGAUUUUGUAGUAAUUUCGCUUGCUUGAUAUUGGUAAUAUUAUUGUCAUCCGAAUAUUUCGAAUAAACCUAUGUAUUCCCAUUAUUGUGAUAGUGGAGAUUUUUUACUGGACUAGGUCUCGUGAUUUUUUUCAAUUUGAGUUUUUCACGUAAAAAUUUUUGGUGUCCUGUGCUUUUUAUUUUUCUGCAUUUUAGUACCACUGCUGGCAUUAUUCCUAUUUUAACUAGUAUUUGGAGAAAGAGUAAUUUAUUUUAGGUUAACUCUGAUAUUGUGUGCCUAGUACCCUUUCCCAACAUAAAGAAACACAAAUAACAUACAGAUUAACCUCAAAUUACUCAUACCAAAUUAUUUGUUUCUUAACUUCUGAAUAAAGUCUGAAAUGUUGCAAAUACAAAGGGCUGUAGGAGCAUAAGGGAUUUUGUCGACUAUCAUAGUGAUGCAUUCAGAUGCAAAAGCCAGUAUGAGUCAAGUUAGAAACGUAGCCAUUAAAGAAAGCAACGUAAAAGAACGACACAAGCAAUCAUUUGAGGAAUUGUCACUAAGCAGAAGAACUGAACUGAAUUGGUUUAAGAGAAUGCAUUUCUUCAAUUGCUAGGAAGGUGGCAGGAUUUACAUAUUUUUACGUGAAAUGUCUACGCCCAACUUGUCAACAUUCAAUAGUCCAGAACUCCAGACUGACUCGCUAAGCCAUUCUUGCCUGCAAAUUAUAACCUCAUGUCAAGUAAUUAAACAUGAUUUAUCCAUAUAUUAAAAAAAAUCUACCUCCAAUCAUCCUAUUAAUUCUCUGAGUUUUUUUUUUUUACAACCCCAUAUACGGGAAUAUACGGGGGAGGGAUAUCAGCCCUUAUUUUAUUAAAACAUAAGAUCUAUUAGGAAAUUAAAAAUUUGUUGCAGACUACCUCCAAUAGCUUCUCGAAAUAUAUGGACAAUAAAGGCUGCCAAGAGACCUAUUAAAUGCUUGACGCGUACUAAAACAAGACAUAUAGGCCGGCUUACUUGUGCAGGAGAAUUAAGUAGCUGAACCAAUGCUUGGGAAUCCACUUCCACUUGCACAUUUUAUUAAUUCUCUGAGUUGAAGUUUCUUAAAAUUGAGAAUGUAUGGCUACUUAAAGUCUUGAAUAUUAGCAUCUAUAAUUCCCAAGUGUCUGAGGUUAAACUUUCUGCAGAUUGAGAAACAGUAGAUGUUGAGUCUUCCUCCGAAUGAGGGCGUUUUGAAAGGUAUACAACAUCAGUUGUGGAUCUGUUUUAACUCUAGUCAUGGAAUGGACUAACGUAGUCCCCAUUUCGUUUUACAAUUUAAUUUACUUUCCACUUACUAGUAUUGUAAUUUGGAAACCAAACCCUUUAGCAGACUGAUUCACUUGUUUAUUUGGGAUUUAUCCCACUAAUAUCACACAAAGAAUUUAAAUUAGGAGUAAUACUCAUUCAAACGUAAUGGAUCUUCUGUCCAACUUUCCGUGUCACUCUUUGUCCUACUUUUUGUUAUAUUGUUAUUUCUUCUUUAUAAAUAUCAUAUUUUAGUUCUUUUUUGUUUCCUUAAAAUCCAAUAAUAAUUAAAUAGGUAUGGGGUCCAUAGUAUAGACAAUGAAUAUUGGAGUUUUAGUUUCUAUAUCACGUUAAACUUGAAAACAGAUGUUCAAAGGGAACCAAAUUACAAUUCUUGUAACAGUUUAAUAUGUUGUUUGUCAUAGCCUAAUGUAUUCAAAUUGGUUUCUUUUCAAUAUAAUUUUAGUAAAUUAAGCUAUCACGGAUAAUUGAGAUAUAGGGAAUUAGAAGUUUUGAUUUCAAAUUCCUGUCUCCGUUGCUACUUCUCAAUUUCUACCCUCCCCUACUAUUUUUUUAAAAAUAUCCCAAGCAAUUUGUAAAUGGGAAUAUUUGAGAGUUUGAGGUAGAAUUUUUUUUUUUUUUUUUUUACUAACUGAUUAAUCUUUUCUUUUAAUUGUUUAAUACUUGGUUCACGACCGUGUGCCAGCCCAUCUCUAUUGACUACGCGAAUAUAUUUCUAGUGCCAAGCCCACAAAUAUUUCUAGUACCCAGCCGACAAAAACGACUACUUUCCAAGCCUGUAGCUCUUCCGAAAAUAGCCCAGAGUCUUUGCUGGGUCUGGCGGACACAAAGGACAGACUGAAAUUUAAUGUAUUCAUAUGUUUAUACGCGUUUGGUAAUGAAAAAUUGAACAUCUGAAUUAAUUAUGUGCUACUGAAUUUUUUAGAUAAAAUUUACUUCAAAAAAUAAGUGAUAAGCUGUUCAUCUAUCACUGAAUGUGAUAUAUAUAUAUAUAUAUAUUCAAAUGUGUCAAAUGUAAUAUUUAACAAUUUAAUAACUUAACAGAUUUAAACUUCAAACUUCACAUUUCAAAUUUCAGAUUUCAGUUUUUUCAAAUGCACCCUUAAGUGUUUGAUAAAAACACACUACUAUUUUGCACAUUGUAAAUAUACAGCUUUCACUCUAUGUUAUCAUCUUUAUGCAGCUGAGCAUCAAAGAUUAGGACUGCCUCACACAACGUGUGAAGGCAACUUGACUAGUUUUAAAUUAACGGGUUAAUCUUGUAAAAUAGAGUAUUUCAUGGUACAACGUCUAUUGUUGUGUAACAUGCGUAAAACUUAAACAAAUUAGGUAGUGUCAAUUCGUCAACAAACAGUCAGGUCUUGCUCGAGGUUUUACACGACCUGUUACCAAAUAUUUAAGUGUUUUCAGAUUAGUUGAACAGGAAAUCGACCAAGCAGCCGGUCUGAGUCUCACUAAAAUACCGUCUGUUAAAAAUUGGUCAAAAAUCGGGAUUGAACAGAAACCGACAAACCGGUUGAAGCCCGAUUUUUUCCAUUUUCUUAUCCUGCCUUCACCGAUUGACAUAUGUAUUCCCACCUCAGGUGCAAUUUCAAAUACGGGACUCUCUUUUUUUUUUUUUUUUUCCUUCCUUUGAUCGUUAACUAGCUCUAAGAAGUAAAACUAGUCUGAAUUGAAGUUACAAACCUGGGAGAGAAAUUCCAUUAUCUUAAUUCCAUUCUCUAAGUUCUUGAAAGAUUUCAAAUCAAAUAGAAGUAAAAAAAAAAAAAAAAAAAAGAAAGGAUAGAAAAGGAUAAAAAAAAAAAACCACUUGUGGUUAAGUGAAUAUACAUAAAAACUUCUCAUGGUAUCAAAACAUGGCAUCCAACAACUCAUGAUUUGAACUAAACUAAAAAUGCGAUGGAAAUCAUCAAAACUAAUGUGGGUAGGCGAAGUAAGAAAAAUACCCUAAUAUAUAUAUGGGUAAAAUGCAAAAAAACCCCUGUGAUUAAAUCAACUUACAGAAAAGUUCCCUAUGGUUCUAAAAAUAUAUAUAAUAUUCAUCCCUUUCACACAUAAAACAAUUGUUCUGAUUUCGUUAAUAUCUGUAUAUGGGAUAACAUCAUAAUUACAAAAAACCCGCGAUUAUCCAUUGCAUACGUAAAGUACAACAUCCCUUUUGAUAGCCUUUUCGAUCUCGACAAUUUUUACUUUCACUUUUCACAAAUCUUGUAUUGGUAUCAUAGUAUUUAGUUCUGCUAUCCACUCGAGAGUUUGAGAAAGAUAUAAGCAACCAUUUUGCAAAAUUUUCCUUCACCUUAUAUAACGAAAAUGUAUUGAAAUCCUUAGUUUAAAUUCUUAAAAAAUACCCUCUGAGAUAAUAUUAUAAUAGCAAAAACCCAGAUUUAAAACUUUUACUAUACCCUAAAAGUAGUGUACAUAAGACUAUUGGUUGAUUUCUCUCAAGAAGUUUUACUCCCUUUUCAAUAUAUUUCCUAAAAGUUUCGGAUCAAAUCCAACGUAUAUGUUUUAAAUCUAUAGUGAGUUUUUCUAUAGGUUGGGUUAAUCACAGAGGGCUUUUCUAUAAGGUAGAAUAUGUAUAUCAAUUGAAAAUUAUUAUAAAAAACUAUUUUUCGAUAUCACUAGUUGCAAAACAAGCGCAUGUGCCACAAACACAUUAGUUUUAACAAUAUUUGUCGCCUUCUCAGUUUAUUUCAAUCUACGAGGUAUCGAAUUAUAUAUUUUAAAAUCAUAGGAGGGCUUUUCUAUGUUCAUUUAAUCAGAAGUGGUUUUUUUUUUUUUUUCACCUGAAAGAAAAUAAUGAAAACAAGAGAGAGUUUUAAUGUGUGUGUGAUAAAAGAAGAGAACAAAGCAAAAGAAACAACGGAGAAGAAACAAGGAAAAAUGAAAGAAGAAAAGUAACUGGCGGCUGAGUAAGGGACAAACAAGGAGGACACAUUAGGUUUGGCAUUUAUUAACUUUAAAUACCCUAAAACUUUGAGAUAAUUUUAUUUUGACCCUUUAUUAUUUUAAUAAAGCAUUAAAUUAAUCCAUUAUAUUUUUCAAAUUAUAUUGUUUACUUAUAACUUUUAAAAUUUUUUAAAUGGAGUUCUUUUGGACUAAAUCUAAAUUCAUCAAAUAUGUAUGUACAGUUGCAAACAACCAAUUUAAGAGGAAUUUUUUUUAUAUAUUAUUUAUAUUAUAUAUAAUUAAUAUAUAUUUAUGACGUGUUUAUGAUGUCAUCCAAUUUAACCUCCAACCUAACUGGUUCAUUCCAUUGAUCCUGAAACCUGAGUUCGACCGAGUUGUUACUUGUCAGAGUUUCAAAACACAUCCUUGCCUACUUUCAUCAUGCUUCAGAAUUAAUAUGUUGUGAUAUGGUCAACGAACUUUUCCUACUUUACUUGAUGAAGUUAUCAGUAAAAAGAUAGACGCUAAAGCUCUGUACAUUCUGCCACAAAAAAGGGGGAAGAAUUUGGGCCCCCGGCCCGGGGGAAGGGGGGGGGGGGUGGUGGGGAGAGGAGAAAAUAAUCACCGGAAGUUGUUUCUUGAACACCAAGUUCACAGUGCACACAAACAUUUUGUGGAAUUCUUGGGGACGACUGCCCUUUCCAGCCCUGUCAUUUUUCCGCCAGCGCUGAAUUAGAUUGUAUUGUUCAAUACCGCGCAGGCAUCUGAAGUUGACUUAACGUUCUCACUUCCAAUAGUCCAUGCGUCGUAAACAUCACUCAUCACAACAGCUUCUUCGUUGGUGCAACUUGGACUUUGAUAAUUUUCUUGAAUAGUUAACCCCCAUCUGCACAUUUUGAUGUUUUCCAACUCGAUGGAAACUUCCUUCAUAGUUGGUCUCCUCCUUCCAUCCCAGUCUAUGCAUCGUUGUGCAAGUUUAGCAACAGCAAUUACCUCCCUUUCAUUUGUUUGAUCCAUAAUUUGAGGAUCAAGAAUCGUUGGAAGAGAAUUCUCUUCCAUGGAUGUCAGAAACCUUUGUGCCAACCCUAAAUAGACAUCUUCUCCUUCUUCUCUGGAAGGUAUGGGCUUUUGUCUUGUCAGGAGCUCAAGAAGAACCGCCCCAAAGCUGUAAACGUCACUUUUGUCAGAAAUUUGGCUCGACAGGAAAUAUUCUGGAUCGAUGUAGCCGAAAGUCCCUUGGACUCGAGUAGUCAUGUGGGUUUUGUCAAUUGCAAUGGACAAUGAAGCUCCAAAGUCUGAUACUUUAGCUAUGUAUUUUUCAUCCAACAAUAUGUUGGUGGACUUGAUAUCCCUGUGAAAGACUGGAAUUGUAAGCCCCGAGUGUAGGUAUGCCAAUGCUCCUGCUACCUCUGUGGCUACUUUUAAUCUCAAGCUCCAAGUAAAAGGAAAGGAUUCAGCCUCAUUGUCGUUUUGAAUGAGGUUAAAUAGGGUUCCAUUAGGGAUAAAUUCAUAGACAAGCAGAGGAACUUCU
rnacentral:lncRNA from 1 species